rnacentral:rRNA from 1 species
CUUUACUGCAGCCUGGAAUUGUGUUCGGGCUUCGCUUGCGCAGGAUAGGUGGGAGGCACAGAAGUUCCCCUUGUGGGGGGAAUCGAGCCAACGGUGAGAUACCACUCUAGCGAGGCUAGAAUUCUAACCCUUGCCCGUCAGCCGGGAAGGAGACAGUUUCAGGGGGGCAGUUUGACUGGGGCGGUCGCCUCCUAAAAGGUAACGGAGGCGCGCAAAGGUUCUCUCAGGCUGGUUGGAAAUCAGCCGUAGAGUGUAAAGGCAUAAGGGAGCUUGACUGCAAGACCUACAAGUCGAGCAGGGUGGAAACACGGUCUUAGUGAUCCGACGGUGCCGCAUGGAAGGGCCGUCGCUCAACGGAUAAAAGUUG